UACGUAGGGUGCGAGCGUUAAUCGGAAUUACUGGGCGUAAAGUGUGCGCAGGCGGCAGAGCAAGUCGAGUGUGAAAGCCCCGGGCUUAACUUGGGAAUUGCGCUCGAAACUACUUUGCUGGAGUGUGGCAGAGGAAGGUGGAAUUCCACGUGUAGCGGUGAAAUGCGUAGAUAUUGGGAGGAACACCGGUGGCGAAGGCGGCCAUCUGGGAAGGUACUGACGCUGAGACGCGAAAGCGUGGGGAGCAAACAGG
rnacentral:rRNA from 1 species